rnacentral:rRNA from 1 species
UACGUAGGUGGCAAGCGUUGUCCGGAUUUAUUGGGCGUAAAGCGAGCGCAGGCGGUUUCUUAAGUCUGAUGUGAAAAGCCCCCGGCUCAACCGGGGAGGGUCAUUGGAAACUGGGAGACUUGAGUGCAGAAGAGGAGAGUGGAAUUCCAUGUGUAGCGGUGAAAUGCGUAGAUAUAUGGAGGAACACCAGUGGCGAAGGCGGCUCUCUGGUCUGUAACUGACGCUGAGGCUCGAAAGCGUGGGGAGCGAACAGG